rnacentral:rRNA from 1 species
AGAGUUUGAUCAUGGCUCAGAUUGAACGCUGGCGGCAGGCCUAACACAUGCAAGUCGAGCGGUAGAGAGAAGCUUGCUUCUCUUGAGAGCGGCGGACGGGUGAGUAAUGCCUAGGAAUCUGCCUGGUAGUGGGGGAUAACGUCCGGAAACGGACGCUAAUACCGCAUACGUCCUACGGGAGAAAGCAGGGGACCUUCGGGCCUUGCGCUAUCAGAUGAGCCUAGGUCGGAUUAGCUAGUUGGUGGGGUAAUGGCUCACCAAGGCGACGAUCCGUAACUGGUCUGAGAGGAUGAUCAGUCACACUGGAACUGAGACACGGUCCAGACUCCUACGGGAGGCAGCAGUGGGGAAUAUUGGACAAUGGGCGAAAGCCUGAUCCAGCCAUGCCGCGUGUGUGAAGAAGGUCUUCGGAUUGUAAAACACUUUAAGUUGGGAGGAAGGGCAGUAAAUUAAUACUUUGCUGUUUUGACGUUACCGACAGAAUAGGCACCGGCUAACUCUGUGCCAGCAGCCGCGGUAAUACAGAGGGUGCAAGCGUUAAUCGGAAUUACUGGGCGUAAAGCGCGCGUAGGUGGUCCGUUAAGUUGGAUGUGAAAUCCCCGGGCUCAACCUGGGAACUGCAUUCAAAACUGACGAGCUAGAGUAUGGUAGAGGGUGGUGGAAUUUCCUGUGUAGCGGUGAAAUGCGUAGAUAUAGGAAGGAACACCAGUGGCGAAGGCGACCACCUGGACUGAUACUGACACUGAGGUGCGAAAGCGUGGGGAGCAAACAGGAUUAGAUACCCCGGUAGUCCAA